UCUUUCCCAAAUCCAAAAGUCAUCGCCGGUGCUUCAAGCUCCUCGUCGUCAGCGAACGUCGGCUGCUAUAGAUGGCUGUCACGGAUGGAAAUACAGGAAAUAACAUAUACCUCCGCCGCGAUCUGCUUCGGACAUCCGUUGAUUUAUUCACGAAUCUGGGGCACUCCUUUAGAUCAGGUGAACUUGUUCAUUGGAUCUAUCUGAUACACUUGUAUCAUAUUGGACCCAUGAUACAGUAUCAAGCCGGUAUCAAGGAAUCGGAGGAGUCUCUGUUCAAGAAGGAUUUGACCUGGGCGAUCAACCACAGUCCCCGAUUCAGAGAUCGGGAAGCCGAUCUAGAAAAGAGACGAAGCGUGAUCAAAAGAUCGUAUUUCCUCUCGAUUGGAUUCUCUGAGCAGCAGAGGUGAAGUCUGGAGCGGAGAUGAUAGGACGAUGAUGCGGAGCAACUGGAUUGAAGGAGUCGAGACGGAGAUGGAGGGGAUCGACGAUGACCGGAGCGAUCGGGCGAUGCGGCGGUUACGGAAAUGAAGUGGAAUGAUUAAGGG
rnacentral:lncRNA from 1 species